rfam:Bombyx mori DNA, contig: Bm_scaf25_contig16810, strain: p50T/Dazao, build 2, whole genome shotgun sequence.
UUAGGUCAUAUUUGUAUGGAAUGGGAUCGUUUGCCUUCCUUUGCCGUUAGGGCUGCUGUUCCAGCUGCAUACAAAUUUGAGUUA